CGAGAAAGCCCGCAAGGGUGAGUACAGCGGCGCACGGGUGCGUAACACGUGGGUAAUCUACCUCGAAGUCCGGAAUAACUCCCCGAAAGGGGUGCUAAUGCCGGAUGAGACCACGGGAGCUGCGGCUCCCGAGGGAAAAGAUGGCCUCUGCAUGCAAGCUAUCGCUUCGAGAUGAGCCCGCGGCCCAUCAGCUCGUUGGCGGGGUAACGGCCCACCAAGGCUACGACGGGUAGCUGGUCUGAGAGGACGAUCAGCCACACUGGAACUGAGACACGGUCCAGACUCCUACGGGAGGCAGCAGUGGGGAAUCUUGCGCAAUGGGCGAAAGCCUGACGCAGCAACGCCGCGUGUGUGAUGAAGGUCUUCGGAUCGUAAAGCACUGUCGCGAGGGACG
rnacentral:rRNA from 1 species